AUGGCUCAGGAUGAACGCUAGCUACAGGCUUAACACAUGCAAGUCGAGGGGCAGCAUUUCAGUUUGCUUGCAAACUGGAGAUGGCGACCGGCGCACGGGUGAGUAACACGUAUCCAACCUGCCGAUAACUCGGGGAUAGCCUUUCGAAAGAAAGAUUAAUACCCGAUGGUAUAAUCAGACCGCAUGGUCUUGUUAUUAAAGAAUUUCGGUUAUCGAUGGGGAUGCGUUCCAUUAGGCAGUUGGUGAGGUAACGGCUCACCAAACCUUCGAUGGAUAGGGGUUCUGAGAGGAAGGUCCCCCACAUUGGAACUGAGACACGGUCCAAACUCCUACGGGAGGCAGCAGUGAGGAAUAUUGGUCAAUGGGCGCAGGCCUGAACCAGCCAAGUAGCGUGAAGGAUGACUGCCCUAUGGGUUGUAAACUUCUUUUAUAUGGGAAUAAAGUUUUCCACGUGUGGAAUUUUGUAUGUACCAUAUGAAUAAGGAUCGGCUAACUCCGUGCCAGCAGCCGCGGUAAUACGGAGGAUCCGAGCGUUAUCCGGAUUUAUUGGGUUUAAAGGGAGCGUAGGUGGACAGUUAAGUCAGUUGUGAAAGUUUGCGGCUCAACCGUAAAAUUGCAGUUGAUACUGGCUGUCUUGAGUACAGUAGAGGUGGGCGGAAUUCGUGGUGUAGCGGUGAAAUGCUUAGAUAUCACGAAGAACUCCGAUUGCGAAGGCAGCUCACUGGACUGCAACUGACACUGAUGCUCGAAAGUGUGGGUAUCAAACAGGAUUAGAUACCCUGGUAGUCCACACAGUAAACGAUGAAUACUCGCUGUUUGCGAUAUACAGUAAGCGGCCAAGCGAAAGCAUUAAGUAUUCCACCUGGGGAGUACGCCGGCAACGGUGAAACUCAAAGGAAUUGACGGGGGCCCGCACAAGCGGAGGAACAUGUGGUUUAAUUCGAUGAUACGCGAGGAACCUUACCCGGGCUUAAAUUGCAUUUGAAUAUAUUGGAAACAGUAUAGCCGUAAGGCAAAUGUGAAGGUGCUGCAUGGUUGUCGUCAGCUCGUGCCGUGAGGUGUCGGCUUAAGUGCCAUAACGAGCGCAACCCUUAUCUUUAGUUACUAACAGGUCAUGCUGAGGACUCUAGAGAGACUGCCGUCGUAAGAUGUGAGGAAGGUGGGGAUGACGUCAAAUCAGCACGGCCCUUACGUCCGGGGCUACACACGUGUUACAAUGGGGGGUACAGAAGGCAGCUACCUGGUGACAGGAUGCUAAUCCCAAAAGCCUCUCUCAGUUCGGAUCGAAGUCUGCAACCCGACUUCGUGAAGCUGGAUUCGCUAGUAAUCGCGCAUCAGCCAUGGCGCGGUGAAUACGUUCCCGGGCCUUGUACACACCGCCCGUCAAGCCAUGAAAGCCGGGGGUACCUGAAGUACGUAACCGCAAGGAGCGUCCUAGGGUA
rnacentral:rRNA from 1 species